rnacentral:lncRNA from 1 species
UUGAGAAUAAAUAUAUGUGUUGAAAAGGUUCAAGUUUGGGGUUGUAUGGGGAAAGUAAAAGGCAAAAAAGAAGCAUUGAGUUCAAAAGAUGAAAAAGAAAAAUGCAUGAGAAAGAAAAGAAAAGAAGAAAAGAGAAAAAACAUGAAAAGUGAACUCAAUGUAAAAGGAAAAAGGGAAAAAGUUAGGAAUGAGUGAGAUUGGUUAAAAAGAGAGUGUGCUUGAACUUUGAAUGAUGAUUUAAACUCUCUUAACUCAAGGAUUUUGUAUUCCAGAAAAAUCAAUUUUUCUUGAUAGCCCAGCCACAAUACAAGCCUUGGAACAAGUCCUUGUGAUGACAUGUGUAUGUGAAGAUUUUGAUUGUUUUAGUUGAAUGACAAUAUUGUUUUAUGUGACAUGUGAACAGUAGAGAGUAGAGUGACCUCCUAAGCACUUGAGAGAUUGAGUGAAACACUUGCUUGGUGAGAAUUGUUAAAUCCAUGUUUAUAUCUUUGCUUAGUUGAUUGAUCAUUCAUGAACAAAACAUCUGUUGAAAAAAGAGAUUGAUUAUGUGAACUAAAAUCGGAUUGAAAGCAU